ensembl:lincRNA
UAGGAAAGGUAUUAAAAGAGGGAUAGAUGCUCAUCUGUGUUUAUUUUUUCCCUUAGGGAAUAUGGUUACAUCAGAGAACAAAUCAAAUCCUUAAACACAGAGAAAAACAACAACAAACAUUCACUAGGAAAUGAUGAAAAUUAAUAGACACACGCAUUUGUUAGAGAAACUGUCUGCUUAUGCCAGGUCCAAUGCAGUGGAUCAAGGUGUGCCAGGCUGUCAACAUUGUUAAAGUAAACAUGAAGCUUCAUGAUGUGCAUCUGGUGCCUGGUUUAGGAUCUGCACCAUGGUUGGUCAUGUAAAUUGAUCCAUUUCAGAACAUGUAUCCCAAGACUUAAGUUGCUUCCCUUGGUGGAGAUAUCUUGCAUGUGUCUUCACUGUUCCUGACUGGAGAGAAAAGCAAGUUUCUCUGCCUUUACAGAGAUCAGGAGACCUUCAAAUCCUGUUAAUAACCAUUCUAUCAUUUUCUAUGUAUAUUUUCCCUGCUGUUUCCACACUGUGUGC